GCACAAGCGGUGGAUGAUGUGGAUUAAUUCGAUGCAACGCGAAAACCUUACCUACCCUUGACAUGUCCGGAAUCCCGAAGAGAUUUGGGAGUGCUCGCAAGAGAGCCGGAACACAGGUGCUGCAUGGCUGUCGUCAGCUCGUGUCGUGAGAUGUUGGGUUAAGUCCCGCAACGAGCGCAACCCUUGUCAUUAGUUGCCAUCAUUUGGUUGGGCACUCUAAUGAGACUGCCGGUGACAAACCGGAGGAAGGUGGGGAUGACGUCAAGUCCUCAUGGCCCUUAUAGGUGGGGCUACACACGUCAUACAAUGGCUGGUACAAAGGGUUGCCAACCCGCGAGGGGGAGCCAAUCCCAUAAAGCCAGUCGUAGUCCGGAUCGUAGUCUGCAACUCGACUACGUGAAGUCGGAGUCGCUAGUAAUCGUGGAUCAGAAUGUCACGGUGAAUACGUUCCCGGGUCUU
rnacentral:rRNA from 1 species